rnacentral:rRNA from 1 species
AUUGAACGCUGGCGGCAGGCUUAACACAUGCAAGUCGAGCGGGGAAGGUAGCUUGCUACCGGACCUAGCGGCGGACGGGUGAGUAAUGCUUAGGAAUCUGCCUAUUAGUGGGGGACAACAUCUCGAAAGGGAUGCUAAUACCGCAUACGUCCUACGGGAGAAAGCAGGGGAUCUUCGGACCUUGCGCUAAUAGAUGAGCCUAAGUCGGAUUAGCUAGUUGGUGGGGUAAAGGCCUACCAAGGCGACGAUCUGUAGCGGGUCUGAGAGGAGGAUCCGCCACACUGGGACUGAGGCACGGCCCAGACUCCUACGGGAGGGAGCAGUGGGGAAUAUUGGACAAUGGGGGGAACCCUGAUCCAGCCAUGCCGCGUGUGUGAAGAAGGCCUUAUGGUUGUAAAGCACUUUAAGCGAGGAGGAGGCUACUCUAGUUAAUACCUAGGGAUAGUGGACGUUACUCGCAGAAUAAGCACCGGCUAACUCUGUGCCAGCCGCCGCCGUAA